ensembl:rRNA 5S_rRNA 5S ribosomal RNA
GCUUACGGCCAUACCACCCUGAGAACGCCCGAUCUCGUCUGAUCUCGGAAGCUAAGCAGGGGCGGGCCUGGUUAGUACUUGGAUGGGAGACCGCCUGGGAAUACCAGGUGCUGUAAGCU